CAGAUCAGCCACUAUUAACUAGGGUGGCCAGGAAAUGUCCCAGUGAGAUAUGCAAGACCUUAGGGAAGCUAGAGUCCCAGCUAGUGAGUCGUAGAUGCUCAGCCUCCAAACCAUGCCUUGCGUACUUGGCUUUGCCAUUCUGCAAACCAAAUGUCUGCUUUGUUGGCUGGCUUCUUGUGCAGCUCCAUGAACACAGGGUGUCACAGGGGAGUGGAAGCUGGAGGAAGGAAAGGGGCUCGCUCCUGUGAGCUUUCUGUCUGCUGUGGUUCCUAUAUACGUCAUUCCUGGAAUGCUUCUUUACCCCUCAGAGGCAGUGCUUUUCCGGAGCAGCAGCUGAGUCCAGGGACUUCUGCUUGCUGCUGCCAAGUGAAAAAUCAUGUAUUUACUUCCCGUUCCGCCGUGAUUGUAAGUUUCCUGAGGCCUCCCCAGCCCUGCAGAACUGGACAGCUCAGAACUCCCAUGUUUCCUCAAAAGGUUCCCUCCUGCUGCUCACCUGAGCUGCCUGUCCCAGCACACAGCCACCAUCACCAGCAGGUUCCCCAAGAUGGCCAUCAGGAUAACCGUCGAGAGAAACGUGAGCAGCACCACCUUCUCCACUGACCCGAAACCCUCCUCAGAACUGAAAGACACACACAAGCACAAAGAAUUGAAUGAAACUCUGGGACACAAGAAGGAAAAUUCGUCUUUUCAUCAUUGACCUUCAGAAAGGUUUCUUGAGAGACUAAACAUACAAAUGGACAAUGGCCAGACCAUGUGUAACAAUAAAACUCCGAUGGACAAUCUCUGGCAGCCAGCCCAGAACGAUCAGGACUUGUUCAAUGACUGCGAGCUAGCUUCCCCCUUUUUUAACCCUCUUACCUGCUUCCAACUCAAGACUAACAACAGAAUGCCAAAGACACUGCUCCCCAAAGCAAUUACGUAAGAUGCCUCACUGCUUGUUAGUGCACCUCCUGCUUCAAUGUGCCAACAACCUCCAAUCAGAAGAUAGCAGAAGCCUUCUUUUCCCCGCUUAUAAAGCUUUUUUACUCCCCUGCCUGUCUUUGAGACUUUGCUAAAUUCCAAGGAUGGUGGCUGAUCCUCUUGCUUUAUCAUGCUCUGAAUAAAUUGCUUGUUUGUUCUCA